rnacentral:rRNA from 1 species
UACGGAGGGUGCAAGCGUUAUCCGGAUUUACUGGGGUUAAAGGGUGCGUAGGCGGAUUUGUAAGUCCGGGGUGAAAUCUCCGAGCUUAACUCGGAAACUGCCUUGGGUACUAUAAGUCUUGAAUGACGUUGAGGUUAGCGGAAUAUGUCAUGUAGCGGUGAAAUGCUUAGAUAUGACAUAGAACAUCUAUUGCGAAGGCAUCUAACUAAGCGUAUAUUGACGCUGAUGCACGAAAGCGUGGGCAUCAAACAGG